CCUACGGGAGGCAGCAGUGGGGAAUCUUGCACAAUGGAGGAAACUCUGAUGCAGCGAUGCCGCGUGAGUGAAGAAGGCCUUUGGGUUGUAAAGCUCUUUUGUAGGGGAAGAUAAUGACUGUACCCUAAGAAUAAGGUCCGGCUAACUUCGUGCCAGCAGCCGCGGUAAUACGAAGGGACCUAGCGUAGUUCGGAAUUACUGGGCGUAAAGCGCGCGUAGGCCGUUGAGUUAGUUAAUUGUGAAAUCCCAAAGCUUAACUUUGGAACUGCAAUUAAAACUGCUCGACUAGAGUUUGAUAGAGGAAAGCGGAAUACAUAGUGUAGAGGUGAAAUUCGUAGAUAUUAUGUAGAACACCAGUUGCGAAGGCGGCUUUCUGGAUCAACACUGACGCUGAGGCGCGAAAGUAUGGGUAGCAAAGAGGAUUAGAUACCCUCGUAGUCCAUACCAUAAACGAUGAUUGCUAGAUGUUGGAAAUUUAUUUUCAGUAUCGCAGCUAACGCAUUAAGCAAUCCGCCUGGGGAGUACGACCGCAAGGUUAAAACUUAAAGGAAUUGACGG
rnacentral:rRNA from 1 species